UACAGAGGGUGCAAGCGUUGUUCGGAAUUACUGGGCGUAAAGCGUGCGCAGGCGGUUAUGUAAGACAGGGGUGAAAUCCCCGGGCUUAACCUGGGAACUGCAUUUGUGACUGCAUAGCUAGAGUACGGUAGAGGUUGAUGGAAUUCCAGGUGUAGCGGUGAAAUGCGUAGAUAUCUGGAAGAACACCAGUGGCGAAGGCGGUCAACUGGCCCGUAACUGACGCUGAGGCACGAAAGCGUGGGGAGCGAACAGG
rnacentral:rRNA from 1 species